UACAGAGGUCCCAAGCGUUGUUCGGAUUCAUUGGGCGUAAAGGGUGUGUAGGUGGCGCCGUAAGUCGGGUGUGAAAUCUCGGAGCUUAACUCCGAAACUGCAUUCGAUACUGCCGUGCUUGAGGACUGGAGAGGAGACUGGAAUUUACGGUGUAGCGGUGAAAUGCGUAGAUAUCGUAAGGAAGACCAGUGGCGAAGGCGGGUCUCUGGACAGUUCCUGACGCUGAGGCACGAAGGUCAGGGGAGCAAACGGG
rnacentral:rRNA from 1 species